UACGGAGGAUGCAAGCGUUUAUCCGGAAUUAUUGGGCGUAAAGCGUCCGCAGGUGGCACUUCAAGUCUGCUGUCAAAGACCGGGGCUUAACCCUGGAAGGCAGUGGAAACUGAAGCGCUAGAGUGUGGCAGGGGUAGAGGGAAGUUCCCGGUGUAGCGGUGAAAUGCGUAGAGAUCGGGAAGAACAUCGGUGGCGAAAGCGCUCUACUGGGCCAUAACUGACACUCAGGGACGAAAGCUAGGGGAGCGAAUGGG
rnacentral:rRNA from 1 species